GACGAACGCUGGCGGCGUGCUUAACACAUGCAAGUCGAACGAAGUGGCGAACGGGUGCGUAACGCGUAAUCCACCUGCCCUUCGGAGGGGGACAACAGUUGGAAACGACUGCUAAUACCGCAUACUUAAGGAGGGGAUUGCGUCUGAUUAGCUGGUUGGCGGGGUAACGGCCCACCAAGGCGAUGAUCCGUAGCAGGUCUGAGAGGAUGAACGGCCCAAUUGGGACUGAGACCAGGCCCAGACUUCUACGGGAGGCAGCAGUGGGGAAUCUUCCGCAAUGGACGAAAGUCUGACGGAGCAACGCCGCGGGAGUGAUGACGGCCUUCGGGUUGUAAAGCUCUGUUAAUCGGGACGCGGUACCGGAAUAGAAAGCCACGGCUAACUACGUGCCAGCAGCCGCGGUAAUUC
rnacentral:rRNA from 1 species